rnacentral:rRNA from 1 species
GGAAUCUUAGACAAUGGGCGCAAGCCUGAUCUAGCCAUGCCGCGUGAGCGAUGAAGGCCUUAGGGUUGUAAAGCUCUUUCACCGGGGAAGAUAAUGACGGUACCCGGAGAAGAAGCCCCGGCUAACUCCGUGCCAGCAGCCGCGGUAAUACGGAGGGGGCUAGCGUUGUUCGGAAUUACUGGGCGUAAAGGGCGCGUAGGCGGUAUGUCAAGUCAGGGGUGAAAGGCCUGGGCUCAACCCAGGAAUUGCCUUUGAAACUGGCAAACUAGAGUCCGAAAGAGGAUGGCGGAAUUCCCAGUGUAGAGGUGAAAUUCGUAGAUAUUGGGAAGAACACCGGUGGCGAAGGCGGCCAUCUGGAUCGGCACUGACGCUGAGGCGCGAAAGCGUGGGGAGCAAAC